CCUACGGGAGGCAGCAGUAGGGAAUCUUCCGCAAUGGACGAAAGUCUGACGGAGCAACGCCGCGUGAGCGAAGAAGGCCUUCGGGUCGUAAAGCUCUGUUGUUAGGGAAGAACAAGUACGAGAGUAACUGCUCGUGCCUUGACGGUACCUAACCAGAAAGCCACGGCUAACUACGUGCCAGCAGCCGCGGUAAUACGUAGGUGGCAAGCGUUGUCCGGAAUUAUUGGGCGUAAAGCGCGCGCAGGCGGUUCCUUAAGUCUGAUGUGAAAGCCCACGGCUCAACCGUGGAGGGUCAUUGGAAACUGGGGAACUUGAGUGCAGAAGAGGAAAGUGGAAUUCCAAGUGUAGCGGUGAAAUGCGUAGGGAUUUGGAGGAACACCAGUGGCGAAGGCGACUUUCUGGUCUGUAACUGACACUGAGGCGCGAAAGCGUGGGGAGCAAACAGGAUUAGAUACCCUGGUAGUCCACGCCGUAAACGAUGAGUGCUAAGUGUUAGAGGGUUUCCGCCCUUUAGUGCUGCAGCUAACGCAUUAAGCACUCCGCCUGGGGAGUACGGCCGCAAGGCUGAAACUCAAAGGAAUUGACGG
rnacentral:rRNA from 1 species